rnacentral:rRNA from 1 species
AACCGCGGUCAUACGAGUGCCGCCCAAGUGGACAAUCAACGGCGUAAAGCGUGGUUAAGGCCCCCCACCAACUAAAGCAAAACCCCACCAAGGCCGUUAUACGCAUCCGAUCGGGUGAGACCCCACUACGAAAGUAACUUUAACUCAACCUGAACCCACGAAAGCUGAGAAA